rnacentral:misc_RNA from 1 species
CCAAACUUGGUCAUUUAGAGGAAGUAAAAGUCGUAACAAGGUUUCCGUAGGUGAACCUGCGGAAGGAUCAUUAUUGAAAGUAAGUCUUGGUGCAUUUCGGUGUAUACUGUUGCUGGCCUUUUAACUAAGGUAUUGUGCACGUAUUUUCUGGGUGUCACUGGGACAUAACUCUUCAUCCACCUGUGCACUUUUUGUAGAAGUUCUUUUGGAUUGGCUUAUAGGUUUCGACCUUGUAGUUGGUUUGAAAGGCUUCUAUGUUUUUACAAACUAGUUAAGCAUGUUUAGAAUGUCUUUUAUUGGGACUUAAUUGACCCUUUAAACUUGUACAACUUUCAGCAACGGAUCUCUUGGCUCUCCCAUCGAUGAAGAACGCAGC